rnacentral:rRNA from 1 species
UGGGGAAUAUUGGACAAUGGGCGAAAGCCUGAUCCAGCCACGCCGCGUGUGUGAAGAAGGUCUUCGGAUUGUAAAGCACUUUAAGUUGGGAGGAAGGGCAUUAACCUAAUACGUUAGUGUUUUGACGUUACCGACAGAAUAAGCACCGGCUAACUCUGUGCCAGCAGCCGCGGUAAUACAGAGGGUGCAAGCGUUAAUCGGAAUUACUGGGCGUAAAGCGCGCGUAGGUGGUUUGUUAAGUUGGAUGUGAAAUCCCCGGGCUCAACCUGGGAACUGCAUUCAAAACUGACUGACUAGAGUAUGGUAGAGGAUGGUGGAAUUUCCUGUGUAGCGGUGAAAUGCGUAGAUAUAGGAAGGAACACCAGUGGCGAAGGCGACCACCUGGACUAAUACUGACACUGAGGUGCGAAAGCGUGGGGAGCAAACA